UAAAUGGGUGGAUGAAAGAGAGGGGGGGGGAUUCAAAAUUGGCCGACCAUCAUUGUGGUCGUUAUAACUUAAUCGACUCGGGGGGGAAAUUUGGGUACAGCUGGAAGUGGUUAUACUCGGUAGAAUCGUGGAAAUUAAUAGCUCCUUUUAGUUUUAGUGCGAUGGGUGGCCCUCAUCUCAGACGGAUUAGAUUGCCGAGUAGAUAGUGGAUCCAUCCAAGAUCUUUUCCGACUGGAACACCUAGAUUGUAUAUAAGUUAGCAAAUUGCAUUAUACCACCACCACACUCGAGUGGGAGACCAAUUCUUGACUAGUGGUGCCAAUGAGACUUUCUUGUUCCAUGGGAUGGGUGGGGAGGGAAGCGAGAGAGCGAGAAGGCGAACGAAAUGAAACGGGGCACACGAACACCAAGAAGAAUGGAAAGGCCAAGGAAUCGGGAUCGCGGUCGAGGGUCCCAUCCCAAGUGUUGUUGUUUUGUCGGUGACCUCCUACCCUCUGGCCCUCGGACUGGAUUCGCGAGUUCGAGUGUGUCUCUUUGGAACAUAAGAGUACGUCGGCCUCUUGGACCACUUUGAUGGGAUGAAUUGAGGAACACCCAAACAACUCCAGAACGAAAUGAAGAGAGAAAAUGAAAGAGCACCCAAGAGAAGAAGAAGA